UUUAUAUUUAAAAACGGAGGGAGUAUAAUGAAUCCAGACCCACUCCAACACAUUUAAACCGGUAUCCAUUUGUGUGCCACGGUUGGACCUCAACAUCAUUUUUAAUGUUAUCUUUUGAGUUAUUAGAGGAAGUCCCAUUGGGGCAUAGUAAUGCAAGGCAUUGUGGCUGUUCAUGAACACGAGACAAAGUAUCGGCCACUCGAUUUUUUGAACCCCAGAUUUAUAGAUGAUCUUAUGAGAGUACCCCAAUAACUUGGUCAAUUAGAUUUAUUGCUCCGGAGUUUGGAUUACUUGGGUCAUGAGUUCGCAAACUGUGUUGAUCUGUAUGGAUCACGAGUUUGCAGCCUAAUAGGUAAGACCUCCAUUUCUUAACACUACCAAUGUGAUGAGUGAUGACACAUAAUUCCUUAAUAUAAGUGGAUGCAUUUAGCAUCUUUUGGUAAAAUUUUAUGUUGUAAUCUAAGAUUCAAAAUUUGAACCGAAAAACGAAUCGACAAGACUUCUAAGUCGUGACCUAAACUGUUGUUCAACCAGAUAAUUGAUAAAUGAAUAAAUAAUUUUUUUUAAUUUGAUAAUUAAAUGUAGAAGGACAAGUUAAAGCUACUAUUAAACUUGUUUAAAGUUAAAGCAGCUAUUAUUAACAUAAAAAAUACACAUUACAAGAUGACCCACGAAGAUACAAAUACUUUAUCAUGAGACGACAUACGUCGUCGUUGGUGUUUUAAAAUUUUAUUAAGUAUUAAUUUAUGGUGGACGCUUCAUAUUAGAAUUUUUCAUGUUUCACAUAUAAAUUCAUAAAAGUCAUAGUUUUCUUAAGAAGAUGCCAUUAUUUUUUCAAUUAGAGGCCUUACAUAAGCCACAAACUUCUCUUGCUCAGGGGUGUUUUCUUUGAUGAUUGGAACAUCCUUGAAAUUAUUAAACCAUAAAUGCAAACGGGGGAAUCUCUCACUUUUUAAGAUCUUCACUUCAAAC
rnacentral:lncRNA from 1 species